rnacentral:rRNA from 1 species
UACGUAGGCAGCAAGCGUUGUUCGGAAUUACUGGGCGUAAAGGGCUCGUAGGCGGCCAACUAAGUCAGACGUGAAAUCCCUCGGCUUAACCGGGGAACUGCAUCUGAUACUGGAUGGCUUGAGUUCGGGAGAGGGAUGUGGAAUUCCAGGUGUAGCGGUGAAAUGCGUAGAGAUCAUGAGGAAGACCAGUGGCGAAGGCGGGUCUCUGGACAGUUCCUGACACUGAGACACGAAGGCCAGGGGAGCAAACGGG